rnacentral:rRNA from 1 species
UACGAAGGGGGCUAGCGUUGUUCGGAAUUACUGGGCGUAAAGCGCACGUAGGCGGAUGUUUAAGUCAGAGGUGAAAGCCCAGGGCUCAACCUUGGAACUGCCUUUGAUACUGGACAUCUUGAGUGUGGGAGAGGUGAGUGGAACUCCGAGUGUAGAGGUGAAAUUCGUAGAUAUUCGGAAGAACACCAGUGGCGAAGGCGACUCACUGGCCCAUUACUGACGCUGAGGCGCGAAAGCGUGGGGAGCAAACAGG